AUGAGGUAGAAACUAAGUGAAUUCAUUAUAGAGCCCAAGUGACAUCAAAUUGGAGCUAAAGUCGAAUGAAAAAGGCUUUGAGAAGGGUUUGAGUCGACUCAAGAGAGUUUGGAGUCGACUCUAGCAUGGUUUGGGCACUGGUAUGUAGACUUUGCACGGGAUUGAGUAGACUCAAAAUCAUCCAAGUCGAUUUUAUCUCAAGCAAUAUAAAGUAUAUUUCUAUCUAUUGAGACCGAGUUGACUCCCAGAUUUUCGAGUUAACUCGAAG
rnacentral:lncRNA from 1 species